CGCGACCGCUACACGUGUUCCACUGUGCAGGCCACCGCGACAGCUCCAACUCGCACACUGUGUUUGCAUUCAGCCGCCCUGUGUGAAUUUCUGUGCCUUUCAAGGUUGCUGCCGCUGAACGAGAGCUCUACACCGGCACCCAGCGCCAGCCUCCGAGCAUCACAACCGCACAACGUCAAAGGGCCGCCCACUACGAGAAGAAGGCGUGAGAUGCCGUGACGCCCACUCCCCGUCACGUCCUUCACGGGAGUUGGCGUCUCCGACCUACCGAUCUGCUGCCCCGCCGACUCCGACGCUAGCUUCUUAGUGGGAUUCAUCACCAUAAUGCCGGCCAUCAGCGAGCCGUACCCCAGGCACAGCCGUCUUCGAGUACCGUCUCGGUGACGAGAAGGGGGCAGGGUCAGGGGG